rnacentral:misc_RNA from 1 species
GAUGAAGAACGCAGCGAAAUGCGAUAAGUAAUGUGAAUUGCAGAAUUCAGUGAAUCAUCGAGUCUUUGAACGCACAUUGCGCCCCCUGGUAUUCCGGGGGGGCAUGCCUGUCCGAGCGUCAUUGCUGCCCUCAAGCACGGCUUGUGUGUUGGGCCCCCGCCCCCCGGCUUCGGGGGGCGGGCCCGAAAGGCAGCGGCGGCACCGCGUCCGGUCCUCGAGCGUAUGGGGCUUCGUCACCCGCUCUGUAGGCCCGGCCGGCGCCCGCCGGCGACCCCAAUCAAUCUUUCCAGGUUGACCUCGGAUCAGGUAGGGAUACCCGCUGAACUUAAGCAUAUCAAUAAGCGGAGGA